rnacentral:lncRNA from 1 species
GAAUAUAAAGAUAAUUUGAUUAAGAUUUAGGUGUUUAAUUUAAAAAAUUUUAAUAACGAUAUAUAUACGUGGGUAACUUAGAUACAAAUCUAGAAUGGUUUUAAGUUAUAUUUUAUAAUGAUAUGCAUGGGUAAAUUAGAUCAAGAUUAUGAGGUUACUUUAAUUACUUUUAAUAAUGGUAGAGUUGGGUAAUUUAAAUAUAUGUUUAGGUGGUUUAUUUUAAGAAUAUUUUCAUAAUAAUAGUGCUAGGUAAUAUCUUAGAAAACAUAAUAGACCAAUGACUAUGAUCAUUAGAGUUGCACAAUUGAUGUUCGAUAUUUCUGAUUUUUUUAAGAAUUUUAGGAUUUAUCUUUCUUUUCUAGCAUGUUUCGUGACAAUUAACGUAGAGUCUCCAAUUAAAAAAAAGAGACCACAUUGCUGCAAAAUGUUUACCGUAACGCUUGAGUUAAUAACUCUUAUUCGUUAAAUAUUCUAACACAAUACUUAUAUAGAUAUAUACUUAUUAUCUUCAUCCGAUUAUGAUAGAUUUAGUUAAUAAUUACUCUGUAACAUUUUC